CCUAACACAUGCAAGUCGAACGGGACUAGCUCACAGCACAAUGAGUUCAUGGUUCAAGGCUCAUAGCAAAAGAGGAGGAGUUAUUAAGUCUAUGAGCGAUCAGCGAAGAGCUAUGAGCUUUCUGUGCUGUGAGCUAGUUUAGUGGCGGACGGGUGAGUAACACGCAGGUAACCUGCCCCUCAGGGGGGGACAACCCAGGGAAACUUGGGCUAAUACCCCAUAAGACCACGGACUGGGAUGUUUGUGGUAAAAGGAGCAAUUUGCUGAGGGAUGGGCCUGCGGCCUAUCUUGUAGUUGGUGAGGUAAUGGCCUACCAAGGCUCUGAUGGGUAGCCGGCCUGAGAGGGUGUACGGCCACCCUGGAACUGAGACACGGUCCAGA
rnacentral:sRNA from 1 species